GUGUCAGCCGCCGCGGUAAGACAGAGGGUGCAAACGUUGUUCGGAAUUACUGGGCGUAAAGCGCAUGUAGGCGGUUCUGCAGGUCGGAUGUGAAAGCCCUCGGCUCAACCGGGGAAGUGCAUUCGAAACCGCAGGACUUGAGUCCCGGAGAGGGUAGUGGAAUUCUCGGUGUAGAGGUGAAAUUCGUAGAUAUCGAGAGGAACACCGGUGGCGAAAGCGGCUACCUGGACGAGGACUGACGCUGAGAUGCGAAAGCGUGGGGAGCAAACAGGAUUAGAUACCCUGGUAGUCCACGCCGUAAACGAUGGGUGCUAGGUGCUGCGGGCUUUGACCCCUGCUGUGCCGUAGCUAACGCAUUAAGCACCCCGCCUGGGAAGUACGGCCGCAAGGCUAAA
rnacentral:rRNA from 1 species